CUUCUAAGAAGGCAGUAGGAUCCUGAUCUUCUGUCCACUUCUUAUUACAAACCUUGUGAAGUCCACAUGAUUUGCAUAAGUACUUCUUUUUUCUAGUGUUCCUGCCUCUUAGAGUAUUAUAAAAAGGUCUCAGAGCUGUGUCAUGAUCAUCAAACUGUGGGAAAGUUUGAAGAUGGUGUCCACACCUCAGUUCUUUGGACUUCUGCUUUUCUGGAUUUCAGCCUCCAGAUGCGACAUCUUGCUGACUCAGACUCCACCCACACUGUCUGUGUCUCAAGGAGAUAAAGUCUCUAUUUCCUGCAGGGCCAGCCAGGGUAUUAGCAACAGCCUACACUGGUAUCAACAAAAAUCACAUGAGUCUCCAAGGCUUCUAAUCAAGUAUGCUUCCCAGUCCAUUUCUGGGAUCCCCUCCAGGUUCAGUGGCAGUGGAUCAGGGACAGAUUUCACUCUCAAUAUCAACAGUGUAGAGCCUGAAGAUAUUGGAAUGUAUUACUGUCAGCACAGUUACAGCUGGCCUCCCACAGUGGUUCAGACCACAUCAAAAACCACUAGGAAAGCAGAAGUGUACGGCUGGGAAGCUUCAGCUGUUUGUGGUGGUAUAUCAACCUUCUUCAAACUGUUUCGUAGAUGCAGGCAAGUGUUUACAGAAUUAUGUGGAUUGAAGAAGAAUGGAAGUUUCCCUUGCCUCUGA